UACGUAGGGUGCGAGCGUUAAUCGGAAUUACUGGGCGUAAAGGGUGUGUAGGUGGUUGUGUAAGUUAGAUGUGAAAUCCCUGGGCUCAACCUGGGAACUGCGUUUAAAACUGCAUAGCUAGAGUACUGUAGAGGAUAGUGGAAUUUCCAGUGUAGCGGUGAAAUGCGUAGAUAUUGGAAGGAACACCAGUGGCGAAGGCGACUAUCUGGGCAGAUACUGACACUGAGACACGAGAGCAUGGGGAGCGAACAGG
rnacentral:rRNA from 1 species